GAUGCAGCUCCUGGGGCCCCACUCUGGCCCCAGCACACCUGGCUGUUCUGCCAGUGUGACUCACUAUGAAGCCCCCUCAGAAGACUUGGCUGACAUUACUUCCUUCCCCAGUCAGACUUGGCUCCACAACUGGAACAGGCCACAGCUUGCGAAAGAGCCCAUGAGUCAAUUCAACAGAGAUGAGCUGGGGAAGAGAGAGGAAAUAAGAAUCCUACCCAUGAUUCAAGUCACUGUUUAAAUGCUGCCUACAUCUUCAUUUAUGCUUCAACGGGAUCUCAUGAUUUUGUCUGAUUCUAAAUCUUUCUG
rnacentral:lncRNA from 10 species